CUGGAUUGCUGAAGCGCCUGGGCCAACAGUUGGGUCUGCAAUGGGUUGGUACCCCCCUGACCAGGCCACCUGGAAGCUGUCGGUCAGUUGAACAACAAACACUUAAUGACUGACCCUACUGCUGACUCUGCGUUGGCAGCCUCCGCCCCUUUCUCCAUUUCUAGCUGAUGCUAUUUGAGGCCUAUGAGGGAUGAGAGCUUGGUGCGCAUUUGCCUGUGAAGCCUGGCACCUGAACUCAGCACUCUGCAACCCACAAUUACAACUGCUUUAAAGACAACCACCUCCUUCUGGCCCCCACCAUCAUGGCGCAGCAGAAAAGCAUGAUGCGCUGGGAGUAAGAUAUAGACACGGUGCGGUGGACGUGGAGGUGUGCUGCCCAGAUGUCCCUCCCGGGAAGGACUGGUGGUCCCAGUUCUGGGAGUGCUGUCAGCAGGUGCUUGUCAACUGUCAGCCCUUCGAGGCCUCCGUCAGCUGCAGAGGGCCGUCUCCCCCGGGGGGGCCGUGUCCGCAUCCAAUGACCGAUUGAGGCAAGUGUAUAAAAGCCCAGCUAUUCGGCCCAGUGCCGGACAACUCAGACGGGCUUCCCAGUCCUGCCUCCUGUCCCUUCCUUCCACAGGUGCUAAUCCUAAGGGCAUUCCCUAAUAAACACCCAAAGCCUUAAUUCCCUUUCGGAGGCUGCUUUCUGGAGAGCGCAACCUGCCACAAAUGAGUAUGAAUUUCAGAUCAACUACUUAGGAACGCUGUGACUUUGGGGAAACCAUGACCUAUUUCCUGUAAGACUCAAUUUCCUUAUCUGCAAAAUGGGAAUAAUGGUAACUUCUUCAUAGGAUCAUGGUGAGGAGGCUGGCCUCUGACAUCCAUUUCUGAUACGAAAUUCCAGGACUUUAAGGAGAAGUUGGAGUUUUAUCUCUGUCGUCGGUGUUUUGAACAGAAAAUAGAGGAUUUUUAGGGUGUAGAUAGAGUUUUCGUUUAUUUUUUCUUUUCAGUUGAUUUUGGAAGAAAAAUGAUGAAGGGGAGGAAGAGUUGGCUUUUGUUGUUGGGUUAGAGGAGUGAGAUUAGAUUUCUUGGAAAAUAGUCAAACAUACCAGAGUGGAUCUUUCAAUGACUGGCAAGAAUUUGCUUGGCAGGAAAAUUGCUGACUUGAUGAAGAGGGCUUCUCCACUCAAUUUUCCGGAGGAGGGAGAAAAAGAUCUUGGCAAACCAGCUUAAUGCCCCAUCGUGAAGAUGCCUGCUCCCUUUGAGCUGGAUUAGUUGCUGCCGUCCCUGUUUCCACAGAAAGCUGGAGCCAAGGGCUAGGAGAAAGGCCAAAGGGCCCAUGCAGGAGCAGCAGCGCAUACAGGAUGGACAUUUAAUAAGUGCAUGAAUGAAUGAAUGAAAGUAAGACCAACUAAUAGGACUGAGGUCAGCCGAGAACUGUAUGUUCCUCAAAGCUUCAGUGAGAUGAUACAGCCCACAGCUCAGAGGUCCAUUGGGAUCAGUCAUAGACCUUACUCUGCCUGGGCCGGAGACUGCCAGCUCCAACUGACCUAGAACACUGCCCCCCAAACAAGCUUUGCUCUCCACCUCAUCCACCAAGGAGCUGCAUGCCUUCCUGUCACAGAUCAGUUGGCAUCUGGGAGAAAAGAGCACGAGGAGGAGAGCCCUACUGAACGUAUAGAAAAACACUUUUUAUAAGGAAUGAAAUCACAACAGCAUUGCAAAGCAAGAGAACAUGCCAUUGGCAGAACAGAAAAUUUGAGGGACUCCUGGAAGAUAAAAAUUAGACAGGAUCAAUAUAUAAAUUGACAGAGAAAUCAGAACAACAACAACAAAAACACUAGAACCAAAACAUCAAAGACAUGUUCCCUCUAAGGGACACCAGGAAGCUCUGCAGUCCCAAUCAGCGACUGGGAAAAGCAGGGGUGGCUUGUAAAGUAGUAACAGGGCAAGGAACUGGCAUGAACAGGGCACUUGGAGCCCAGGAUCAACCACGCCUUCCUCAAACAGGGCGGACGGAAUGUCUACCACUGCGGCCAACCCCGAGUAUCCCCUCCGAAAAAGGGAUGAUUCCUCUGGAAUGGAGGUUGGGCCCGAUGAAUAAACAGAACCCAGCCUGAUCUAGUACCAGGUGUCUACAGCAGACACUAAGGAAGAAAACCAGCUGACUCCAAG
ensembl:lncRNA